GGCUUAAGUUGUCAAAUUUUGAGUUUCGGAAUCAUUUAGAAUUGAGUCUCGGAAUGGAAUUUCAUUGAUUUCAUCAGUUCUGGAAUGUGGAAAUUGGCCUAGGAGAGUUGUCGGAAUCAUAUUUGGAGUUGAAACGUGAAAUUUAGGUCCGAAGUUGAAAAUUGAGAUAAAGUUUGAUCCAAGUUUGACUUUGAUCAACAUUUGGGGAUCGGAUGCUCGGAUUGAAUUUCUGAUGGUUCCCAUGAUUUCGGGAGGUGAUUCUAACGCUAUAAAAGGUUUUGUUGUAAAUUUUGAAACUCCCGAGCUCGCUUUGGUAUUUUGGAGGCUUAAUUAGUUUAGUUGCGACUUUUCGAGUUUCGGGUCAAGGAGACCUCAAAUUCAAAUUUCGUCGGUUCCAUUGAGUCCAAAAUAUUAUUUCCAAGCUAGUAUCAUAUAUGUGUUCGGGAAUUUACGGAUGAACUUUUAAGUUUCUUGGGUGGUUUGGGACUGUUUCAGCAAAUUGUGGCGACUAAAAGGUUCAUUAUUAGUUUUAAAGAUCAAAAAAUUAUUUGAAAACUUUUAAAAUUUUAAGCAUGAAUUAUAGGACUUAUUUGCAAGGUAUGGUGCAUUUUUGCUAAGCCGAGAUUAGACUUUUAUCGCAAAAUAAGAAAUAAUUAUUUAUCGAGCAGAAAUGAUAUUUGACUGGGCAAAUGAGUUCAAAAUUGAGUUUCGAUUGAAGAAGCAAGUCUGUAUCAUUAUUUAAAACAUUUACAAAAAAGAAUCGGGUUAUUUCGCUAUCGUAUAAGGGAUUUACGGCUCUUUUAGUGAAAAUAUAAAUUGUAGAUUUUCUGAUACAAAUAGGGUUGUACAGGUACAUAAAUUUUAGAUUAUGUUCAUUUGGUAUUUUGAGCAUAUCGGGAGUUCUAGAGCUCGGAAUGGGGUGAUUCUUACUGAUUUCAUCUCGAUAUAAUAUGGGGAUUAUCUUGAUUCGAAGCGCCAACAUAAGUGCAAGGCUCAAGUUUUGGACUAGUGGGAUCGGAUUGGAGGCAAAUGAAUUUCUAAACCUAUUAUAAAGCUUGUAGGAUCAUGUAUUAUGUGUUGAGGAUUGAUAGAAAGUGGUGUUAAUAACUAUUACUAUUCAAAUGAACUUGAUGAUAAAUAGUGGGGUAAUAAAUGGAAAAAUUAAGAUGAGAUGACAUGUGGUGUUCGAUGUGAUAGAACAUUGGGCUUAUUUUAAAUAUUUGGAUAUAUUUAUAUGUUGUUGAUAUGAUAUUGAUUAAUUGGGUAA